rnacentral:rRNA from 1 species
AUUGAACGCUGGCGGCAUGCUUUACACAUGCAAGUCGAACGGUAACAGGCCGCAAGGUGCUGACGAGUGGCGAACGGGUGAGUAAUGCAUCGGAACGUGCCCAGUCGUGGGGGAUAACGCAGCGAAAGCUGCGCUAAUACCGCAUACGAACUCUGGAUGAAAGCGGGGGACCGAAAGGCCUCGCGCGAUUGGAGCGGCCGAUGUCAGAUUAGGUAGUUGGUGGGGUAAAGGCCCACCAAGCCAACGAUCUGUAGCUGGUCUGAGAGGACGACCAGCAUCACGGGGCCUGGGACAAGGCCCAGACGCCUACGGGAGGCAGCAGGGGGGAAUUUUGGACAAUGGGCGCAAGCAUGAUGCAGCAAUGCCGCGUGCAGGAAGAAGGCCGUCGGGUUGUGAACUGCUUUGGUGCGGAACGGAACGGUUCAGUUUAAUACCCUGGGCUAAUGACGGUACCUGAAGAAUAAGCACCGGCUAACUACGUGCCAGCCGCCGCGGUAACAC